AGAAAAACGGUGAACUGAGAUAAAAACAGUGUAAUAGGUAAAGCAAAAGCCGUUGCACACAAGCAAAGCAAAACAAGGAAUCAAUUCAAUACUUCCCAUUGGCAGAAAGAAAAGAAAAAGAAAUCUGCAUUAAGCUCAGAGAACUUCCUGAACCUGAUGGGGCUUGUCUAUUUAGUAGCCGUACAUGGAUCUGCCUUCCAAACACCCAUUUACUCUCCACUUGGAACUAUAUGUUGGCAGUGGUGGGGUUACAGGUCACCAGAUCUCCAGUCCAAGCCAUACCAAGCUGGAGGGAUUUCAAAGGAACCAUGUCUUUUGGGAAAGGUGCUGAACAAGAGCCCUGAAAGCUACAAUUCCUGCUGUCUCACCAAGGAAGAAAAGCAAGUUUCUGCUGCUCAAGUACACUGAUGGC